UACGGAGGGAGCUAGCGUUGUUCGGAAUUACUGGGCGUAAAGCGCACGUAGGCGGCUUUGUAAGUUAGAGGUGAAAGCCCGGGGCUCAACUCCGGAACUGCCUUUAAGACUGCAUCGCUUGAAUCCAGGAGAGGUGAGUGGAAUUCCGAGUGUAGAGGUGAAAUUCGUAGAUAUUCGGAAGAACACCAGUGGCGAAGGCGGCUCACUGGACUGGUAUCGACGCUGAGGUGCGAAAGCGUGGGGAGCAAACAGG
rnacentral:rRNA from 1 species